rnacentral:rRNA from 1 species
GCUCAGGAUGAACGCUAGCGGCGCGCUUAUGCAUGCAAGUCGAGCGAUGAGGCCUCCUCGGGGGGUACAUCAGCGGCAGACGGGGUGAGUAACACGUAGGUGAUCUACCCCAGAGACGGGGAUAACGGGUGGAAACAUCCGCUAAUACCGGAUAGACUUGUUCUGGUCAAAGUGGACAAGUGAAAGGCUCCGGCGCUCUGGGAGGAGCCUGCGGCCCAUCAGCUAGUUGGCGGGGUAACGGCCCACCAAGGCAAAGACGGGUAGGGGGUGUGAGAGCAUGGCCCCCCACAAUGGGACUGGAACACGGCCCAUACUCCUACGGGAGGCAGCAGCAGGGAAAAUUGCACAAUGGACGGAAGUCUGAUGCAGCGACGCCGCGUGGAUGAAGAAGGCCCUCGGGUUGUAAAAUCCUUUACAGGGGGAAGAGGAAGGACGGUACCCCUGGAACAAGUGUCGGCUAACUACGUGCCAGCAGCCGCGGUAAGACGUAGGACACAAGCGUUAUCCGGAUUUACUGGGCGUAAAGCGUCUGCAGGCGGACAGGUAAGUUGGGCGUGAAAGCUCCGGGCCCAACCCGGAGAGGUCGUUCAAUACUGCGUGUCUAGAGGGUGUCAGAGGGGAGUGGAAUUUCCGGAGUAGCGGUAAAAUGCGCAGAGAUCGGAAAGAACACCAAUGGCGAAGGCAGCUCCCUGGGGCAACCCUGACGCUAAGAGACGAAAGCUAGGGGAGCGAACAGGAUUAGAGACCCUGGUAGUCCUAGCCCUAAACGAUGGAUGCUGGAUGUGGGGCCAUAGCGCUCCGUGUCGAAGCGAACGCGUUAAGCAUCCCGCCUGGGGACUACGCCCGCAAGGUUAAAACUCAAACGAAUUGACGGGACCCCGCACAAGCAGCGGAGCGUGUGGUUUAAUUCGAUGCUA